rfam:Heterocephalus glaber contig273945, whole genome shotgun sequence.
CUGGCCUCCAGGGCCUUGUACAUAGUAGGCUUUCAUUCACUCGUUUUCACAUACGGUGAGGGUCUACUGUGUGCCAGGCCCUGUCCAG